rnacentral:rRNA from 1 species
GACAGAGGUGCCGAGCGUUAGGCGGAAUCACUGGGCUUAAAGCGUGUGUAGGCGGAUGGGUAAGUACCUUGUGAAAUCCCACGGCUCAACCGUGGAACUGCUCGGUAUACUGCCCGUCUUGAGCCAGCUAGGGGCAACCGGAACAAACGGUGGAGCGGUGAAAUGCGUAGAUAUCAUUUGGAACGCCAACGGUGAAAAACAGCUGGCUGGGGGGUGUGCUGACGCUGGAGACACGAAAGCCAGGGGGAGCGAACGGG